ACUUUGCCAAGUUUCAUGGAGGGCCACAGGCCUGCCUCACAUACCCAGUUACUUCUCAAAACUAGCCACUGUUCUGACCCAGGUGCGUUUACUCAUGGGAGCUGGAAGCUGAGGCAGAUGGUCUACACAGGUAUGAUAGAACACUUUUUUGCUUCUGAAGUACAGUGGCUCAGCUCCUGAUGAUCUGAAUCAAGACUGUUGGAUUCUGUAAGUACAUCAACCACUACCUGCCCAAGUGAAGAACCAAGUAAAUGGUAGAAGUGGACGUGGAGGUCUCUACCCCAAUACUCCUCCUCCAGGAUAAAGACCAGAGGGUGGCCCCUUUUUGGAAACAUUCAGGAAAAAGAAAAAUCAUUCUCCCUUUAUCAAAAAGAAUCAUCAUAGCUUCUCUCACUUCAACUCAAGACACACUUGCUGAGUACCUAUGGUCAUAGCUCUCCUGGGGCUCUGAUUCCUGACACAAUCGGAUCUGUAAAUAUUCUUAGCAGAUAUAGGAACAUAGAGUUUGGAGCUCUUUAUUUUUGUUCACAUUUUCUUUAUAAGAUUUUUCUCACUGCUUAAGCUUGAUGUCCUAUGAAGUGUGAGGGAUCAGGCCAAGGACAGUGAAUCUCGAGGAAGAGUCUCUCUCUAUUAAAGUGGCUGAAACCCAUCAAGCUGGCUCACCUGCAGAACUAAAUGUUGCUUCUUGGCUGUUUGCCUCAAGGGAGCCACUUGAAUGAGCCUUUAUUUGAUGUUCCUGAAAACUGGAAAGAACAAAAAGACAGAGGGGAAGGGAUGAGGGUUAGAGUGUACUCUAGAAAUCAAUGAGGAUGGAAGGAAAGGGUUAGUGGGGAGGUGCCCUACCCAGGGGAAGAUCCAUGCUGCAGCCCCAACCUGCAGCCCCUAACUGGGUCCCUCAUAUAUGGUCUGGCUGCAUUCCCUGCAGGGUCCCCACACAGACCCUUCCUCAGCGCCCCCAUUCCAGGGCUGCUGAGAUAUGCAAUCCUAUGUCUUUGAUAUACACCUCAGGUAUGAGGGAGCCCACACACGCCUGGGAACUCACAUGCAGCCAGGCCUCCUGGCUUCUAGCCAGGACUCUCUGGACAGCCCAGUGGAGAUUAUCCCAGAUACAGAUAAUUCUGUUCUGAGUCUUUGCUUUUUUAGGCAAGUAAAGCUUCAGGAGAUUAGGGACUGAAGAAAGAUUGAAAAAGAGAUCAUGACUUCUCUCUGCCAAAUAAAGAAAGACCUUCCAUAUUGGUAGAGCACUGGAGUCCAAGAAAUGAGCUUGUCUAUAGUGUGAAUUUUUGCAUAGAUCUAACACCCAAAGGGCCUGAGGGCUUGGAAGUCUGGCAGGUAGGGGACCUCUAGAAAACACAGUAUGACUGCAAUUAUGCAAAGAUAGAACAAAACAAAAACAAUGAAGAAAAAAACUGACAGGAAAUAGUACAAAAUGUUAAGAGGGAAGAUUACAUAGUACAAUGACUCUGGAGUCAAUUAGACUUGGAUUUUAAUCUCAGCUCUGCCACUUACCGGCUGUGCUGCCUUGGGCAUGUUGCCUAACUUCUCUGAAAUGGUUUCUUUCUCUGCACUAGGAAGUAAUAGCACAUAUCUCAAAGAAUGAUUGUGAAAAUUACAUUACAUAAUGUAUGCUGCACAGCAGAAUGUUUAGUGCUUAAAAUAAUGUUCAAAAAUUGGAAACUAUUGACUAAUGUGGCUUUUAAGUGGUAAGGCUAUGGGUAACUUUUUCUCUCUAUUUUUUGAUCAUCCACAUUUUGUACAAUGAAUAUAUAUUACAUAUGCUGAAUCACAGUCUGGCAGCCUGACAACAGUUCUUUCUAUCCAGGCUUAUUCAGUGUGGCUCCUCACAAGGGUCUUCAGGUCUGCUGAGUGUAAACAAUGCCUCCUUCUGCCAGGGGAGCCUCUGCUCUCUGCAGGCUUGGCCGCAGUGAGGACGGACUGGGAUCCUGGAAACUAGAGAAGGAAGGAAGGCCACCAAAGACAGCUGCACUGUUUUCUUCUUGAUAAGUGACCAGAGGCCCUGAAGGAACACCAAGUAUCAUUUUUGUGCAAGUAGAACACAUCGAGAUAUUCUUUCAGGCAGUAUGCCAUUUAAGAUGCUUAGAAGUUACAUUUCCUUUCUGCAAAUAUCACAUAAUGGGUAGAAUUUUCCCCUUAACUAAGAUAUGGGGCAAACCCUAAAGCCCCCCCAAAAAUAAGCUCAAGCUGUCAAAGGCAGCUUCUCCAGUGCCUCAUCAUGCUCCCAGCCUCACCCCUCUUGGCAGGUGCAAAUGGUCAGGCACCUAGACUAGGCAGUAGGCAUGGUGACCACUGAUUUUCACAUUAUUACUGUUGCAAAAAAGCAGAGAUAUCAGACAGGAGAGAGACAAGUAAAGAUUUACCGCCUUUUCUGUUAGUGUUCAACAGUUGAACUGCACAUGUUCCCAAGAGUGUAAAGCAAUAACUAAUGGAAUUUAGAACCAAGGAUGACCUGACAGUUCUAAGCUUUGAUUCCCAUAUGAAGUUCAAUUUACUGACAUACCCAAGGUCAGAGAGGAUUCAGGGAGUGAUCUUGGUCAAUUCAACUACAGAGCCAGAACUAGAAGCCAAACCUCCUAAUUUUCAGCUGGUGAUGCUUCUUCUAACGAUGGGUUUUGCUUUUCCCCCAAUUGCUGAGAUUACUGCCUCCAGAGAGUACCACCUUCUUGGAAGUGCUUACUAUGGGAGCUGCUACACAAAUUGGGAGAACACGCCUCUUGGAUAUAAGUUAAGUGAGAACUGGAAGCAAAGCUUUGCCACCUGCAUUGUCCUGGAGUUGCUGUUUCUCAUGGCCAUAAACUCUUUCAGACUCCUCGUUAAAGCCAGCAGGGCAACGGCACAUGCCAGCCCCAGGUCAGCCCCCAUGGCUCUAGCAAUGGGACUGGUGACCAGAAUAAGAACACUGACUCUCAUCUCACCAUAGCAAUGAUCAGAAAACAGACUAGCUGCCAAGCAUCAGAAGAGUCAUGUUUCUACAUGGAUCCCUGCUGGCACAUGCCAUCCAGGAUGUAUGGGCAAUCCUUGGAAAGUCAUCUCCAUCACAGAUGGAGACUAAACCUGGAGCAUAACAAGAUGAUUGUAAAAAUUUAGUUGAACAUUAUUCAUUCUCUUUUAUAGCUUUGAGAUAUAAUUCAUGUGCCAUACAAUUCACCCAUUUAAAGCAUCCAACUCAAUGGUUUUUAGUAUAUUCGGAGUUUUGCAAUUAUCAUCUCAACCCAAUUUUAGAGUAUUUUUAUCACCACCGCCAAACAGACUCCCUAUCCCUUAGAUGUAAUCCUUCAUUGCCCCCAUUUCCCCCAGCCCCGGGCAACCACUAAUCUAUUUUCGGUCUCUAUAAAUUUGCCUACUUGGAUAUUACAUAGAAAUGGAAUCCUAUAACAUGUCGUCCUUUGUGAUUGGCCUCUUUCACUUAGCAAUCAUGUUCUCAAGGUACAUCCAUGAUGUAGAUUAAUUCUUCUUUUAUAGUUUUUGCACUAUCAUAUCUAGAUCUUACAGUGCCUGGUGGACUAUCCUCAAACAUUUUGGUUACUAUUGAAACUAGAAUGAAAAUAAAUUCUGCUUAUCCAAACUUUUAGUGAGCUAAUGUAAGUAGCAUUGUAUUAUUACCAAGAUGAGGUAAAUCAAUUUGUAUGCCUCUGUCAACAGCCACUGGAUACAUCAGCUUCGGAAAUGUUAACCUAUGUUUUGUGGUUGUAGUUUUCUGGUCAUAUAUAAAUCUAGGGCUUAUUGCAAGAAGCAAUUACCCCCAAAAUAACAGAGCCACAAAACUUGGGAAGCUUCUCUAUCUCAACAGAUGAAUUUUCAUGCAUCUCAGGGAUGCACUACACUGCCCUCUGCUGAGGAGUAUGCCAGGAAAAUUAAAAAUCACAAGAAUGUGACGAGACACCAGAGGGCCAGAGAAUCCAUUGCUGAAAUGGAUGAGAAUCCAUUUCUCACCUUUAUUUGUUCACUAUUCAAAGGACAUUUAAAGGUUACCAACACUGUGUCAGCCACUGUUCUGGUAGGAAUACAAACACAGGGCAAUGAUUCUUGUCUUUCAGAACUCCUUGUUAGAGAAGUUCUUUCACUCACAUGCUGGGACUCCUGCUCAACACAACUUCCCCAACUUCAGAGUCACUGGACCUAGACAAUGUUCAGAGCACUUGUCUCUUAUGCCACGUCAAAGGCAAUCCAAAGACAAGUGCUAAAAUGUAAAUAUAGCAUAGAUUGUUCUCUGUAUUUAAGAGUCUGUUUUUCUGGUUCUUUUUCUUAUUUUUCUUUUUCUUAUUUUUCUUUUUCCUGUUUUUUAAAUUCCACAUAUGAGUGAAAUCAUGUAGUAUUUGUCUUUCUCUGUGUGACUUAUUUUACUUAUCAAAAUACCCUCUAGUUCCAUCCAUGUCAUUGCAAAUGGAAAAAUCUCCAUUUUUGUGUCUGAGUAAUAUUCCAUUGUGUAUAUACCACAUCUUCUUUAUUCACUCAUCUGUGGAUGGAUACUUGGAUUUAUGCUGUGUCCUAAUUGUUGUAA
rnacentral:lncRNA from 1 species